rnacentral:rRNA from 1 species
CACAUCCAAGGACGGCAGCAGGCGCGGAACUUGCCCAAUGCGCGGCGCGCGAGGUAGCGACGGGGAGCGCGCGAGCGAGGCGGGCCCACAGCCCCCGCCGCGGAGCCGAGGGCAAGGUCUGGUGCCAGCAGCCGCGGUAAUUCCAGCUCGGCGAGCGUCGCGCGGCGCUGCUGCAGUUGAAACGCCCGUAGUUGGCCCCCCGCCGCCACGAGGAAACGGGAGCGCUCCAGGCAGGCCCGUUGGACCCGCCGCGUGGGACCGCGCAGCGGGCGCGGCGCGCCGCGGCAGCCCCGAGGAGAGCGGGCGGGGGCACCGGUACCGGCCGGGGACGGGUGAAACAGGAUGAUCCCGCCGAGACCGCCGGCCGCGCAGGCGCCUGCCAAGACCGCCUCUGUCAAUCAAGGGCGAAGGCCGGGGGCUAGAAGGCGAUCAGACACCACCGUAUUCCCGGCCGUAAACGGUGCCGCCCCGCGGCCGGCGCGCGCGUCCCGCCGUCCGCCCAGGGAAACCGGGAGGCACCGGGCUCUGGGGGGAGUAUGG